rnacentral:rRNA from 1 species
GACGAACGCUGGCGGCGUGCUUAACACAUGCAAGUCGAACGGAUCACAUUGCUUCGGUUUUGUGGUGAGUGGCGAACGGGUGAGUAACACGUGAGUAACCUGCCCCCUUCUUUGGGAUAACGUCGGGAAAUCGGCGCUAAUACUGGAUAUUCUGGUUUCCUCGCAUGGGGUUUCUGGGAAAGGUUUUCUGGUGGGGGAUGGGCUCGCGGCCUAUCAGCUUGUUGGUGGGGUGAUGGCCUACCAAGGCGGUGACGGGUAGCCGGCCUGAGAGGGUGUCCGGCCACACUGGGACUGAGACACGGCCCAGACUCCUACGGGAGGCAGCAGUGGGGAAUAUUGCACAAUGGGCGCAAGCCUGAUGCAGCGACGCCGCGUGAGGGAUGACGGCCUCGGGUUGUAACCGUACUUUCACGUACAGAACAAGGACCUCGGUUGGUAGGGUAGUGUUGCGAGAAGAAGGAGCCGGCGUACUAACGUGCCGAGCAGCGCGGUAAACGUACGUAG